CCUACGGGGGGCAGCAGUGGGGAAUAUUGCACAAUGGGGGAAACCCUGAUGCAGCGACGCCGCGUGAGUGAAGAAGUAUUUCGGUACGUAAAGCUCUAUCAGCAGGGAAGAAAAAAAGUCCUUUGGACUUUGGACGGUACCUGACCAAGAAGCCCCGGCUAACUACGUGCCAGCAGCCGCGGUAAUACGUAGGGGGCAAGCGUUAUCCGGAUUCACUGGGCGUAAAGGGAGCGCAGGCGGCAUGGCAAGUCUGAUGUGAAAACCCGGGGCCCAACCCCGGGAGUGCAUUGGAAACUGCCAGGCUG
rnacentral:rRNA from 1 species